GCCUAGCCGUUAAAAUUUAUUCACACCCCCUAACGCCCGGUAUAUUACGAGCUCAAGCUUAAAAUCCAAAGGACUUGACGGUGUCCCACCCACCUAGAGGAGCCUGUUCUUUAAUCGAUACCCCCCGCUUUACCUCACCAUUUCUUGCUUUUAACAGCCUGUAUACCUCCGUCGCAAACUUGCCCUGUGAACGAUAAGCAGCAAGUUUAAUGACCUCACCCGCCAGUACGUCAGGUCAAGGUGCAGCCUAUGAAGUGGUAAGCAAUGGGCUACAAUUUCUAACUUAGAACAAACGAAUUAACGCUUGAAACCGCAGUCAUAAAGGUGGAUUUAGCAGUAAAGGGGAACAAUUGAGUCCCCUUAAAUAAGGCCCUGGGACGUGUACAAACCGCCCGUCACCCUCUUCGAUAGUACACAAAUAGUUAAAUAACAAUAUACCCACGCUUUAAAAGAGGUAAGUCGUAACAUGGUAAGUGUACUGGAAAGUGCACUUGGAUUAUCAAAAUGUAGUUUAAUCAAACCUCCUCGCUUACACCGAGACAAUAUCUGUUGGACCCAGAUCAUUUUGAGCUAUAAGUCUAGCCUACAACCUUUUUAUAUUCCUAAAACCUAUUUUACACAAGAUAAAACAUUUUUAAACUUAAGUAGAGGAGAUCGAAAAAUAUUUAGC
rnacentral:misc_RNA from 1 species